GCCCUGGUGGUGGAAUUGGUAGACACAAGGGAUUUAAAAUCCCUCGGCGCUCGCGCUGUGCCGGUUCAAGUCCGGCCCGGGGCACCA
rnacentral:tRNA from 1 species